AGCUGAUGUGAGAUUUCCCUUCCCCAGAGCGAUGGGCUGUGACUGGGGUUGCCCUGGCUGCAGAGGGGCUGCUGCCACUGGAGCAGCAGCA
rnacentral:snoRNA from 1 species